CGUAGGGUGCGAGCGUUAAUCGGAAUUACUGGGCGUAAAGCGUGCGCAGGCGGUUUAGUAAGACAGGCGUGAAAUCCCCGGGCUCAACCUGGGAACCGCGCUUGUGACUGCUAAGCUAGAGUACGGCAGAGGGGGGUGGAAUUCCACGUGUAGCAGUGAAAUGCGUAGAGAUGUGGAGGAACACCAAUGGCGAAGGCAGCCCCCUGGGUCGAUACUGACGCUCAUGCACGAAAGCGUGGGUAGCAAACAGGAUUAGAUACCCUGGUAGUCCACGCCCUAAACGAUGUCAACUAGGUGUUGGGAGGGUAAAACCUUUUAGUACCGGAGCUAACGCGUGAAGUUGACCGCCUGGGGAGUACGGCCGCAAGGUUA
rnacentral:rRNA from 1 species